AGUAACGCGUGGAUAACCUGCCUCACACUGGGGGAUAACAGUUAGAAAUGACUGCUAAUACCGCAUAAGCGCACAGUACCGCAUGGUACAGUGUGAAAAAACUCCGGUGGUGUGAGAUGGAUCCGCGUCUGAUUAGCCAGUUGGCGGGGUAACGGCCCACCAAAGCGACGAUCAGUAGCCGACCUGAGAGGGUGACCGGCCACAUUGGGACUGAGACACGGCCCAA
rnacentral:rRNA from 1 species